GACGAACGCUGGCGGCGUGCUUAACACAUGCCAGUCGAACGGACAGGCGCGGGCUUUGUGGCGUGGACGAUUGGCGAACGGGUGUGUAACACGCGAGCAACCUGCCCCUGUCUGUGGGGGAUAACCUGGAAACAGCGGCUCUUACAGGAGAUGAGAUAUUGCAGCAUGGGGUUCAUUAGUAAAGGUCGGCUGUUGGGGAUGGUCUAGCGGCUUAUCAGCUUGUUUGUGAGGUAGGUGCUGACCAAGGCUACGACGGGUAGGCGGCCUGAGAGGUGGACCGGCGACAAUGGGACUGCGAGAGGGACCAGACUCCUACGUGAGGCAGCAGUGGGGAGUAUUGCAGAGUGAGCGAGCGCCUGAUGCAGAGGUGUCGGGUGCGGGAUGCCCGGUUUCGGGUUGAAAACCACUUUCUGCAGGGAUGAAGCGAAAGUGACGGUACCUGAUCAAGAAGCCACGGCUAACUACGUG
rnacentral:rRNA from 1 species